AAGACCUUACCAGCCUUGACAUCAAGAAAUUUCUAGAGAUAGGUUUGUGCCUUCGGACUUGAGACAGGUGCUGCAGGCUGUCGUCAGCUCGUGUCGUGAAAUGUUGGGUUAAGUCCCGUAACGAGCGCAACCCUUGUCCUUAGUUACCAGCACGUAAUGGUGGGCACUCAAAGGAGACUGCCGGUGACAAACCGGAGGAAGGUGGGGAUGACGUCAAGUCAUCAUGGCCCUUACGGCUUGGGCUACACACGUGCUACAAUGGUCGGUACAAAGGGUUGCCAACCCGCGAGAUGGAGCUAAUCCCAUAAAACCGGUCGUAGUCCGGAUCGCAGUCUGCAACUCGACUGCGUGAAGUCGGAAUCGCUAGUAAUCGUAAUC
rnacentral:rRNA from 1 species